AAUAAUAUUUGAAAUGUAUACUUUGAAAGUAGGUGUAAUAUUAUAUAAAUUAGCAAUAUGCGUGGUUGUGUAUUUGUGUGUAGCAAGUGUGUUUAUGUUUCCACAGCAAUAAUGUGGACUGGAGAGAGGUGAAGCCGGAUGGUCAAAACCGCCUGAGUCAUAUUACAGGACCAGAUGCUGCCAUACUGGACUUCAGUAAAUAAAAGCCCUAUGUUGAGGACAAGGCACCGUUUGCCGAAUUAUGGAGACCCAGAUAGAUCUGACGGCGGGUUCUCAUAUGUCAGUGAUUGGCAAUAUAUCUACAUUCAUCAUUCAUUCGAUGAUAUCAGCCGUCCGUGUAGGAGGCUGUGCAGACAGACAAAAUGGUAUUUAGUCUGUGCAUUUCUUAUAUGAUAUUGCCACACGUGUGUAGACAUCAGACAGACUGACUGGUGUCCUAUAUAUAUUACAAGAGUAUGCAGCUGAUCUCCACCUAGUGUUUUUCUGGAGCAUAGGAGACAUGUGCAGAGACAUUGUUAAGUGUGUGUAAGAUGUGAGAGUGUGACAUGAACAUUUGUAGUUAUCUUGCUGUAUUUUGUGUUGUGUUGUGUAUAUAAAUUUACUAUUUUUGUACAUAUCCGUUAUUGAGUUUUCUCUUCCCCAACUGGAGAUCAACCUCGCUUGUCCCACGUUACACUCUCCCUCAAAAAGGAUCUCAAAUGACCAUAAUCCCUAGUCUGUCCCAAUGUCAAAUCGGACAAUAUUCUUUGGGCUGGACCCCGUAAAGACAUCAUUAGCUGCUGAGCCCUUUCCCAAUCAGUCCAACCAUUCCACUCAGCCACUUGUUCAAAAUGAAUUAUAUACACUCUGAAAUCUGUGCUACCAUCAAAUAUCUGGGGUUCUUUUUGUUUUCUAUACCCUGAACUCAUGGUUGGUCUAGUUGGAUCUGUACCCACUAUAUUUGAACAAUUCAGGCUUGGAAAUGAUGGCCCACAGCAUGAAGAAUGCUCUUAGGUACCAGAAGGGUAAGGGGUACUAGUUCAAAAAUGCCCUUCGUGUUCCCUAACCAACUCAAUAUCUACUGUGUGCGAGUAAGACUGGUUUGGAGAUGGACCCCCAACAAUUGAGUAGGAAUGGUUUUGAGAUGGCCCGUCAACAGCUGAGUAUACAUUGCUUUGAGACGGCCCCUCAACAGCUGAGUAUGUUACGUGUGACCUUGGCCUUGCACCCACGUGCUGGUCAGAAAAAAUUCUAGCGUCUGUCGUACCAGCAGUGUACUGAUUACCUUGAUUUUCACAACCAACACCCUCUCGAAUUUGAGAUUUUGUGCGCCGAACAGGUUUAUUUACCUCAGGGGCAAAGCUGACAUUGUGAGUGGAUUUAACAGGACCUCCCACUGUACCACGUGCAGAGACCCUACCAUUACGACUAACGUUAGCAGGCUGCUCAUGUUCGAUUACUACUGUUGCGUUGUUAUAUAUAUAGAUGAGAUGGCUAAUUUCUUAAAUAUAUAUUAUUCAUUAUUCCAUGUGCCAAGUGUUGUAUGAGUUAUGUCCCUUUAGUAAAUUUCCGGAUAUUUCUGUUCGUUUCCUUUCUUGAAGCCCCGCGUCCAGAAACAAAGAAACAAGUGAGGUCAUUUCUCGGCUUGGCAUGAUUCUACCGGAGAUUUAUUCCAAAUUUCUCCGCAGUUGCAGUACCACUUAUAGAGCUUACCAAUCACAAAGUCAUUUGGGGAGACAGCCAGGAGAGAUCGUUCAAUGCGUUGAAGAAACUUCUGACCUCCCAACCGAUCUUGAAGCUUCCGGAUCUGGAUGAAGACUUCAUUCUGAGAACAGAUGCCUCUGACCAGGGGAUUGGAGCUGUUCUACUCCAAGAGGAACAUGGAAAUAAGCUACCGGUAGCAUAUGCCAGUCGGAAAUUGCAACAGAGAGAGCAGAAUUAUGCAGUGGUUGAGAAAGAAUGCCUUGCUAUUGUUUGGGGAGUUCAGAAAUUUGAGCAGUACAUCUACGGUAGAGAAUUUCUUCUUGAAACGGAUCAUCAACCCCUGGUGUACCUGCAGCGAUCCAAAACAGCCAAUGGAAGAUAAAUGCGAUGGGCUCUUAUUCUCCAGUAAUACAGGUUCAGAAUCUGUGCUAUAAAAGGAAGCGACAAUGUUGGAGCUGACUACUUGAGUCGUACUUAGGAGACUUCAUACCUGGAUUGAAACUACCUGUCAUCUACGCGAUGUGAGUUAUUGUAAAAUGUACCAUUUUCUUAGGCAGGGGGAUAUUGUCACAAUCGCUUGUAUUUGUAUAUUUGUCAUGUGUGUCUGUAUAUAUUGUGACGUGUUGUUACUAUCUGUAUGGCGUAACGGAUGUUCCGUAGAGGGUGAGUGAGCGCGCACGAGCAGGAGCCAUGACAGUGUUCUAACAGGCCGUGUCGACGCAUUUGAGAUAUUUUAACAUUAUACGGGCACAUAAACCUUACAGUCUGUGCAAUAAUGUGGACUGGAGAGAGGUGAAGCCGGAUGGUCAAAACCGCCUGAGUCAUAUUACAGGACCAGAUGCUGCCAUACUGGACUUCAGUAAAUAAAAGCCCUAUGUUGAGGACAAGGCACCGUUUGCCGAAUUAUGGAGACCCAGAUAGAUCUGACGGCGGGUUCUCAUAUGUCAGUGAUUGGCAAUAUAUCUACAUUCAUCAUUCAUUCGAUGAUAUCAGCCGUCCGUGUAGGAGGCUGUGCAGACAGACAAAAUGGUAUUUAGUCUGUGCAUUUCUUAUAUGAUAUUGCCACACGUGUGUAGACAUCAGACAGACUGACUGGUGUCCUAUAUAUAUUACAAGAGUAUGCAGCUGAUCUCCACCUAGUGUUUUUCUGGAGCAUAGGAGACAUGUGCAGAGACAUUGUUAAGUGUGUGUAAGAUGUGAGAGUGUGACAUGAACAUUUGUAGUUAUCUUGCUGUAUUUUGUGUUGUGUUGUGUAUAUAAAUUUACUAUUUUUGUACAUAUCCGUUAUUGAGUUUUCUCUUCCCCAACUGGAGAUCAACCUCGCUUGUCCCACGUUACACUCUCCCUCAAAAAGGAUCUCAAAUGACCAUAAUCCCUAGUCUGUCCCAAUGUCAAAUCGGACAAUAUUCUUUGGGCUGGACCCCGUAAAGACAUCAUUAGCUGCUGAGCCCUUUCCCAAUCAGUCCAACCAUUCCACUCAGCCACUUGUUCAAAAUGAAUUAUAUACACUCUGAAAUCUGUGCUACCAUCAAAUAUCUGGGGUUCUUUUUGUUUUCUAUACCCUGAACUCAUGGUUGGUCUAGUUGGAUCUGUACCCACUAUAUUUGAACAAUUCAGGCUUGGAAAUGAUGGCCCACAGCAUGAAGAAUGCUCUUAGGUACCAGAAGGGUAAGGGGUACUAGUUCAAAAAUGCCCUUCGUGUUCCCUAACCAACUCAAUAUCUACUGUGUGCGAGUAAGACUGGUUUGGAGAUGGACCCCCAACAAUUGAGUAGGAAUGGUUUUGAGAUGGCCCGUCAACAGCUGAGUAUACAUUGCUUUGAGACGGCCCCUCAACAGCUGAGUAUGUUACGUGUGACCUUGGCCUUGCACCCACGUGCUGGUCAGAAAAAAUUCUAGCGUCUGUCGUACCAGCAGUGUACUGAUUACCUUGAUUUUCACAACCAACACCCUCUCGAAUUUGAGAUUUUGUGCGCCGAACAGGUUUAUUUACCUCAGGGGCAAAGCUGACAUUGUGAGUGGAUUUAACAGGACCUCCCACUGUACCACGUGCAGAGACCCUACCAUUACGACUAACGUUAGCAGGCUGCUCAUGUUCGAUUACUACUGUUGCGUUGUUAUAUAUAUAGAUGAGAUGGCUAAUUUCUUAAAUAUAUAUUAUUCAUUAUUCCAUGUGCCAAGUGUUGUAUGAGUUAUGUCCCUUUAGUAAAUUUCCGGAUAUUUCUGUUCGUUUCCUUUCUUGAAGCCCCGCGUCCAGAAACAAAGAAACAAGUGAGGUCAUUUCUCGGCUUGGCAUGAUUCUACCGGAGAUUUAUUCCAAAUUUCUCCGCAGUUGCAGUACCACUUAUAGAGCUUACCAAUCACAAAGUCAUUUGGGGAGACAGCCAGGAGAGAUCGUUCAAUGCGUUGAAGAAACUUCUGACCUCCCAACCGAUCUUGAAGCUUCCGGAUCUGGAUGAAGACUUCAUUCUGAGAACAGAUGCCUCUGACCAGGGGAUUGGAGCUGUUCUACUCCAAGAGGAACAUGGAAAUAAGCUACCGGUAGCAUAUGCCAGUCGGAAAUUGCAACAGAGAGAGCAGAAUUAUGCAGUGGUUGAGAAAGAAUGCCUUGCUAUUGUUUGGGGAGUUCAGAAAUUUGAGCAGUACAUCUACGGUAGAGAAUUUCUUCUUGAAACGGAUCAUCAACCCCUGGUGUACCUGCAGCGAUCCAAAACAGCCAAUGGAAGAUAAAUGCGAUGGGCUCUUAUUCUCCAGUAAUACAGGUUCAGAAUCUGUGCUAUAAAAGGAAGCGACAAUGUUGGAGCUGACUACUUGAGUCGUACUUAGGAGACUUCAUACCUGGAUUGAAACUACCUGUCAUCUACGCGAUGUGAGUUAUUGUAAAAUGUACCAUUUUCUUAGGCAGGGGGAUAUUGUCACAAUCGCUUGUAUUUGUAUAUUUGUCAUGUGUGUCUGUAUAUAUUGUGACGUGUUGUUACUAUCUGUAUGGCGUAACGGAUGUUCCGUAGAGGGUGAGUGAGCGCGCACGAGCAGGAGCCAUGACAGUGUUCUAACAGGCCGUGUCGACGCAUUUGAGAUAUUUUAACAUUAUACGGGCACAUAAACCUUACAGUCUGUGCAAUAAUGUGGACUGGAGAGAGGUGAAGCCGGAUGGUCAAAACCGCCUGAGUCAUAUUACAGGACCAGAUGCUGCCAUACUGGACUUCAGUAAAUAAAAGCCCUAUGUUGAGGACAAGGCACCGUUUGCCGAAUUAUGGAGACCCAGAUAGAUCUGACGGCGGGUUCUCAUAUGUCAGUGAUUGGCAAUAUAUCUACAUUCAUCAUUCAUUCGAUGAUAUCAGCCGUCCGUGUAGGAGGCUGUGCAGACAGACAAAAUGGUAUUUAGUCUGUGCAUUUCUUAUAUGAUAUUGCCACACGUGUGUAGACAUCAGACAGACUGACUGGUGUCCUAUAUAUAUUACAAGAGUAUGCAGCUGAUCUCCACCUAGUGUUUUUCUGGAGCAUAGGAGACAUGUGCAGAGACAUUGUUAAGUGUGUGUAAGAUGUGAGAGUGUGACAUGAACAUUUGUAGUUAUCUUGCUGUAUUUUGUGUUGUGUUGUGUAUAUAAAUUUACUAUUUUUGUACAUAUCCGUUAUUGAGUUUUCUCUUCCCCAACUGGAGAUCAACCUCGCUUGUCCCACGUUACACUCUCCCUCAAAAAGGAUCUCAAAUGACCAUAAUCCCUAGUCUGUCCCAAUGUCAAAUCGGACAAUAUUCUUUGGGCUGGACCCCGUAAAGACAUCAUUAGCUGCUGAGCCCUUUCCCAAUCAGUCCAACCAUUCCACUCAGCCACUUGUUCAAAAUGAAUUAUAUACACUCUGAAAUCUGUGCUACCAUCAAAUAUCUGGGGUUCUUUUUGUUUUCUAUACCCUGAACUCAUGGUUGGUCUAGUUGGAUCUGUACCCACUAUAUUUGAACAAUUCAGGCUUGGAAAUGAUGGCCCACAGCAUGAAGAAUGCUCUUAGGUACCAGAAGGGUAAGGGGUACUAGUUCAAAAAUGCCCUUCGUGUUCCCUAACCAACUCAAUAUCUACUGUGUGCGAGUAAGACUGGUUUGGAGAUGGACCCCCAACAAUUGAGUAGGAAUGGUUUUGAGAUGGCCCGUCAACAGCUGAGUAUACAUUGCUUUGAGACGGCCCCUCAACAGCUGAGUAUGUUACGUGUGACCUUGGCCUUGCACCCACGUGCUGGUCAGAAAAAAUUCUAGCGUCUGUCGUACCAGCAGUGUACUGAUUACCUUGAUUUUCACAACCAACACCCUCUCGAAUUUGAGAUUUUGUGCGCCGAACAGGUUUAUUUACCUCAGGGGCAAAGCUGACAUUGUGAGUGGAUUUAACAGGACCUCCCACUGUACCACGUGCAGAGACCCUACCAUUACGACUAACGUUAGCAGGCUGCUCAUGUUCGAUUACUACUGUUGCGUUGUUAUAUAUAUAGAUGAGAUGGCUAAUUUCUUAAAUAUAUAUUAUUCAUUAUUCCAUGUGCCAAGUGUUGUAUGAGUUAUGUCCCUUUAGUAAAUUUCCGGAUAUUUCUGUUCGUUUCCUUUCUUGAAGCCCCGCGUCCAGAAACAAAGAAACAAGUGAGGUCAUUUCUCGGCUUGGCAUGAUUCUACCGGAGAUUUAUUCCAAAUUUCUCCGCAGUUGCAGUACCACUUAUAGAGCUUACCAAUCACAAAGUCAUUUGGGGAGACAGCCAGGAGAGAUCGUUCAAUGCGUUGAAGAAACUUCUGACCUCCCAACCGAUCUUGAAGCUUCCGGAUCUGGAUGAAGACUUCAUUCUGAGAACAGAUGCCUCUGACCAGGGGAUUGGAGCUGUUCUACUCCAAGAGGAACAUGGAAAUAAGCUACCGGUAGCAUAUGCCAGUCGGAAAUUGCAACAGAGAGAGCAGAAUUAUGCAGUGGUUGAGAAAGAAUGCCUUGCUAUUGUUUGGGGAGUUCAGAAAUUUGAGCAGUACAUCUACGGUAGAGAAUUUCUUCUUGAAACGGAUCAUCAACCCCUGGUGUACCUGCAGCGAUCCAAAACAGCCAAUGGAAGAUAAAUGCGAUGGGCUCUUAUUCUCCAGUAAUACAGGUUCAGAAUCUGUGCUAUAAAAGGAAGCGACAAUGUUGGAGCUGACUACUUGAGUCGUACUUAGGAGACUUCAUACCUGGAUUGAAACUACCUGUCAUCUACGCGAUGUGAGUUAUUGUAAAAUGUACCAUUUUCUUAGGCAGGGGGAUAUUGUCACAAUCGCUUGUAUUUGUAUAUUUGUCAUGUGUGUCUGUAUAUAUUGUGACGUGUUGUUACUAUCUGUAUGGCGUAACGGAUGUUCCGUAGAGGGUGAGUGAGCGCGCACGAGCAGGAGCCAUGACAGUGUUCUAACAGGCCGUGUCGACGCAUUUGAGAUAUUUUAACAUUAUACGGGCACAUAAACCUUACAGUCUGUGCAAUAAUGUGGACUGGAGAGAGGUGAAGCCGGAUGGUCAAAACCGCCUGAGUCAUAUUACAGGACCAGAUGCUGCCAUACUGGACUUCAGUAAAUAAAAGCCCUAUGUUGAGGACAAGGCACCGUUUGCCGAAUUAUGGAGACCCAGAUAGAUCUGACGGCGGGUUCUCAUAUGUCAGUGAUUGGCAAUAUAUCUACAUUCAUCAUUCAUUCGAUGAUAUCAGCCGUCCGUGUAGGAGGCUGUGCAGACAGACAAAAUGGUAUUUAGUCUGUGCAUUUCUUAUAUGAUAUUGCCACACGUGUGUAGACAUCAGACAGACUGACUGGUGUCCUAUAUAUAUUACAAGAGUAUGCAGCUGAUCUCCACCUAGUGUUUUUCUGGAGCAUAGGAGACAUGUGCAGAGACAUUGUUAAGUGUGUGUAAGAUGUGAGAGUGUGACAUGAACAUUUGUAGUUAUCUUGCUGUAUUUUGUGUUGUGUUGUGUAUAUAAAUUUACUAUUUUUGUACAUAUCCGUUAUUGAGUUUUCUCUUCCCCAACUGGAGAUCAACCUCGCUUGUCCCACGUUACACUCUCCCUCAAAAAGGAUCUCAAAUGACCAUAAUCCCUAGUCUGUCCCAAUGUCAAAUCGGACAAUAUUCUUUGGGCUGGACCCCGUAAAGACAUCAUUAGCUGCUGAGCCCUUUCCCAAUCAGUCCAACCAUUCCACUCAGCCACUUGUUCAAAAUGAAUUAUAUACACUCUGAAAUCUGUGCUACCAUCAAAUAUCUGGGGUUCUUUUUGUUUUCUAUACCCUGAACUCAUGGUUGGUCUAGUUGGAUCUGUACCCACUAUAUUUGAACAAUUCAGGCUUGGAAAUGAUGGCCCACAGCAUGAAGAAUGCUCUUAGGUACCAGAAGGGUAAGGGGUACUAGUUCAAAAAUGCCCUUCGUGUUCCCUAACCAACUCAAUAUCUACUGUGUGCGAGUAAGACUGGUUUGGAGAUGGACCCCCAACAAUUGAGUAGGAAUGGUUUUGAGAUGGCCCGUCAACAGCUGAGUAUACAUUGCUUUGAGACGGCCCCUCAACAGCUGAGUAUGUUACGUGUGACCUUGGCCUUGCACCCACGUGCUGGUCAGAAAAAAUUCUAGCGUCUGUCGUACCAGCAGUGUACUGAUUACCUUGAUUUUCACAACCAACACCCUCUCGAAUUUGAGAUUUUGUGCGCCGAACAGGUUUAUUUACCUCAGGGGCAAAGCUGACAUUGUGAGUGGAUUUAACAGGACCUCCCACUGUACCACGUGCAGAGACCCUACCAUUACGACUAACGUUAGCAGGCUGCUCAUGUUCGAUUACUACUGUUGCGUUGUUAUAUAUAUAGAUGAGAUGGCUAAUUUCUUAAAUAUAUAUUAUUCAUUAUUCCAUGUGCCAAGUGUUGUAUGAGUUAUGUCCCUUUAGUAAAUUUCCGGAUAUUUCUGUUCG